CGACGAGUUUGAUCAUGGCUCAGGAUGAACGCUAGCGGAGGCCUAAUACAUGCAAGUCGAACGGUAACAGGGUAGCAAUACCGCUGACGAGUGGCGCACGGGUGCGUAACACGUACACAAUCUACCUUAUACUGGACGCAUAACCUCGGGAAACUGAGGCUAAUUCUCCAUAACAUAUUAAAAAGGCAUCUUUUUGAUAUUAAAACUCCGGUGGUAUAAGAUGAGUGUGCGUCUGAUUAGCUAGUUGGUGGGGUAACGGCUCACCAAGGCAACGAUCAGUAGCUGGUCUGAGAGGAUGAUCAGCCACACGGGCACUGAGACACGGGCCCGACUCCUACGGGAGGCAGCAGUAGGGAAUAUUGGACCAAUGGGCGCAAGCCUGAUCCAGCCAUCCCGCGUGAAGGAUUAAGGCCCUCUGGGUUGUAAACUUCUUUUCUUUGGGAAUAAAAACUCCGUUUCUACGGAGCUUGAAGGUACCAGAGGAAUAAGCACCGGCUAACUCCGUG
rnacentral:rRNA from 1 species